AUUGACUUGACUUGUAUAGUUCACAAGGUCAUAACGUGUGUGUUAUUUAUAUGAUGAUGAUGCCAUGAUGGUAGUAAAUUCUCUCACACAUACUAAUUAAAAUUUUGAAAAAAAAAAUGGAGAAAAGAGGAUGUGGUGUCGGUAAUGUUGCCAUAAGCUGUGUUUAUUUGGCAAUCAUGUUGCUGCUUUUAUCAUCAGCCCUUGCGACCAGCUCGCAAGUCACGCCUCCCACAACUGGACAUGGUGGAAAAUGGGGAGUGCGAACUUUAAUGCAAUAUGGUGAAGGUGACGGUGAAGGUGAUGAUGGGUCAACAUAUCAUUCACGGUGUAAGAGAGGAGAUGUAACGGGAAGCUGUACGCGCGGCGAUGGUAUCGGGAAUACUAAGACAUAAAACGAUGUCAAUGUGUUGCAUACAUGCAUGCUAUUUUUUUUUUUGAUCAAACCAUAAUUGCAUUUAAUUUAGAAGAGUUUAAACACCGUCAAAAGAGAAUACAACAAGACUGCACUGAGCCAAACAAACCAAACACUGGUAAAGUAAAAGAUAGAAUGGCGAUACAAAUCACAAAAAAAACCAUAUGAAAUUGCAUCAUAACAGUUUCAUAGACAUUCUGAAAGAUCGCAUCUAGUGUAACCCAUAGGACCACACAUACUGCACCAUACGCAGAGAGCAUUCGCUGGGAGGAACAUCCUUGCAAUACCAACAAUGCUUGUUCAUCCAAUUCACUCCAUACAUGAGGAAAUAUUGGGAAGAGAGACUGCUCCAACAAGGAGACAAACGGGUAAUUUAUACCCACCAUAAUCAUAUUCAUCCGACUAAGUAUACCAAUGAACUUCUCCUUCAACUGCCACCAAAAAGAGAACAAAUACACAUCACCAAGAACUCGAAUGAAGACAAUAACAUGACUGCAUACAACAGUAAGACUGCACACAACAGUAAGAUAACUGCACACAGCAGUAAUAAAUCGCACCGAAACGACAUAAGGACCACCAAAGUCUACAAAGGUGGAAACAACAUAAGCUAUGUCCAUCAGUACAUCGCCAAAUAAACCCAUGUUCCUCAAUUCCAAUGUCACUCUGAAAACUAGCUUUCUAUCCCAUUCAGCAAAAGAGGAAUAAGCGGAAAAUAACGAGCUAAGGUGAACUUGGAACACAGUAAGAGGAGAGGGGAGAGAUAGAAUGGAAUAGGACCUGAUAGAGGCCCAGUCCACGCACUGACAGGGAGACGACAUGACAUCGGUAUAACGAACCGGAGAAAACCCGGUAAUGAGACUGCAUACUGCAGUAAAUAAGUCAAUGAAGGACCCAAUACCAAACACCAACAAACCAGCCUCCGAGAUUGAAUGAGAGGAGCCCAGCUCCAUAAUCCAGGAGGUCAAGGUCAUAGAAGAGAUGGAAGGCCUAAGAAUCCUUGAAUCAAAGUAUACUGGAACUUGAAAAAAUCUCAGAUCUAGAUCUAGAUUCAAAAACGAUUCUGUGGAAGGGGCCAGAGCGGGGAGAUGAAAAGAGACGAUGGAAACUUCUUCAGAGGUGAACGGUCUGUUUGAGAUGGAGACUCCGACAAAGUAAAAUGGACUACUUGAGAUGAAAAUUUCGACAGUUACAGAAGAUAUUUUGGAGAGAGAGGCUCUAGCGGGAGAAGAUGGAAGGUCGGGUGGUUCUGGAGGUUCAGGUUCCGGCAACUGACCGGACUCCAUGGCGGAGGAGGAGAAGAAGGCCACAACGGCCUCUUGCGGCUAGGGUGUUUAGAGAGCGUUUGGGUUUUUUUUUUCAGAGCUACAUGAACAACAAAAUACAUGCAUGCUAUAAAAUAUAGUAAUAAAUAAAGAACUUUGUUUUAUA